UGAAAAACCGUGAAUCAGAAAGGUACCCAUCAUUAUCGGCGCACCUUCAGGAAGCUCUGCUGCAUGGGUGAAGUUCAGUCGACCCUAGCGAACUUGCACCUUGGGCCUCUUCCCCUUGUUGAGCGUUGCAUUGCUCUGCCCUGGGCGCGGGCUCUGAUUUCUGGGGCAGUCCUUGGCGAAAUGCCCCACAUCGCCGCAGGCAAAAUAGCGGUUACCCGUUGCAGGGCGUGGGGGUGGCGGCAGGGUUGGCCGGGGCGCCUGUGGUUGGAAACCAGGAAAACGGGGCGCUGCUACUAGCGGGGGUCAGGCAAUCCAUCUUCCCGACUGCUGGGGUCGGCUGGGCGCCUGGGGUGGAACCAUUCUGAAACGCUGCCCAGGUGGACUGGGCGUUGGCAGUGGGGCUUUCCUCUUCCUCUCGGCUGCCAGAGCCUUCAUGGAGUCCUCUUGUGAGAUAGCCAGGUUGACCAACUCAUUGUACGUAUCGACCCUUAUCGGGUUUAACCUUUCUCUAAGCUCCAAGCUUAGCCCUUUGCGGAAUCUGUCCCGCUUCUUCUCGUCGGUGUCCGCGUGAUAUCCGGCAUAACGACACAGAUCGUUGAAGGCUUGGGCGUAGUGUAGCACAUCUCGGUUUCCCUAGGUAAGAGCCAGGAAUUCAUUGAGCUUGCGCUCCAGGAGACCCUCCGGAAUGUGGUGUGCUC
rnacentral:lncRNA from 1 species